rnacentral:rRNA from 1 species
AACGAACGCUGGCGGCGUGCUUAAGACAUGCAAGUCGUACGGAAAGGCCCCCUUCGGGGGGUACUCGAGUGGCGCAACGGGUGAGUAACGCGUGGGUAAUCUGCCUUAGGGUCUAGGGACAACCCCGGGAACUGGGGCUAAUACUGGAUAAGACCACGAGCUCUUCGGAGCUUGCGGAAAAAGAUGGCCUCUCCUUGGAAGCUAUCGCCCUUCGAUG